GGAAAAGUUAGCACAUGUGACUCCAUUUUGGUUUGGGGCCCACCAUUGUUUAAAUGCCAGCACAUCAUACACCAGGAGGAGUGAUCCUUAGACACUGAAUCCCUGUGAAAAUCCUCCUCCUUGUCUCCAGCCUGCCUUGACUCCCAGUAUUUGGUUUUUGUCAGUCUCUAACUCCCUGUCUCUUGGCCUUGAUGUGAGGCCUCCCAUCCUGAUAAUAAAGGUUACUGAUCCGUGGCUUUAGGACCAUGCUGUGUAAUUAACAUACUGGUAUAGCAUGAGGAAUGCACCAAGCAGGGAUAGGUGGUAGAUAAGACAAGGGUUUGUUUAUUGGCUAAGGUUUCCGAUGCACAAGGGCAACAUGCUUUGCUAAAAAGUAUAUAACCUUUGUAUAAUCUGUAUUCAGGGUCCCCUCCUGGCUAGCAGGGGAGCACCACGCUCGAGCGUAAUAAACUUAGUGUCUUUUGGGAACUUUGCAGUUGUGGACUUUGUUUAUGUGCCUCAGCCUAGAUUCGAACUGUGCGUGACCUAUCAGGUAUAAUUCGCAGCAUUGGUGUGCGUGUCCUACCAGGUGUAAUUCGCAGCAGUUGUGUGCGUGUCCUACCAGGUGUAAUUCGUAACAGUUUUGGCGACCACGAAGGGACUCUAGGCUCGCCCCAACAAGCGAGAUUACACUCCUCCUCUCGGACAGCUCCAGCCGCCAUAGGGUGAAAGAAGUCCUGCUCCAAGGAUCCUGAGCAAACCUGCCAUUUGUUAAAACCAGGUAACUGGGUCUACAUAAAGGUCCAUCAACAAAAGACUACUCUGGCCCCAUGCUGGAAAGGCCCUUAUUAAGUCCUGCUAACUACCAACACCACUGUGAAGUGACAAGGACUGACUGCCUGGACCCAUGCUUCUUACUGCAAAAAGACCCCUCCCCCUCGAGAUGACUUCACUUCGACUACUGAUCAGCCUGUCCCUCCUUUUGG